UGCAUGGUUGUCGUCAGCUCGUGUCGUGAGAUGUUGGGUUAAGUCCCGCAACGAGCGCAACCCCUACGUUUAGUUGCUAACGCGUGAAGGCGAGCACUCUAGACGAACUGCCGUUGACAAAACGGAGGAAGUGGGGAUGACGUCAAAUCAUCAUGCCCCUUACGGGUAGGGCUACACACGUGCUACAAUGGCCAGUACAAAGGGUUGCGAAGCCGCGAGGUGGAGCUAAUCCCGAAAAGCUGGUCUCAGUCCGGAUCGGAGUCUGCAACUCGACUCCGUGAAGUCGGAAUCGCUAGUAAUCGUGAAUCAGAAUGUCACGGUGAAUACGUUCCCGGGCCUU
rnacentral:rRNA from 1 species